rnacentral:rRNA from 1 species
GAGUCAUUCAACGGCCGCGGGUAUACUAACCGUGCAAAGGUAGCGCAAUCACUUGUUCCUUAAAUAGGGACUAGUAUGAACGGCACCACGAGGAUUUAACUGUCUCCCCCCUCCAAUCUGUGAAACUAAUCCCCCUGUGAAAAAGCAGGGAUAAAAAUAUAAGACGAGAAGACCCCAUGGAACUUUAAACAAAUAAUACAUGCUUCCUUACCAUUAAAUUUCCUGAAAACUAAAAACUUAUAAGCAUGCUAAUUAAGAGUUUUCGGUUGGGGUGACCACGGAGAAAAACUCAUCCUCCGCGAUGAAAAUUCUAAACUUAUAAACUAUAAGCUACAGCUUUAAGAAUCAACAAACUGACAUUAUUGACCCAAACUUUUUGAUCAACGAACCAAGCUACCCUGGGGAUAACAGCGCAAUCUACUUCGAGAGCACAUAUCGACAAGUAGGCUUACGACCUCGAUGUUGGAUCAGGGUCCCUGGUGGUGCAGCCGCUCCCAAAGGUUCGUUUGUUCAACGAUUAAAACCCUACGUGAU